rnacentral:tmRNA from 1 species
GUUUCGACGGGGAUCAGUGAGGUCCAGGCUGCGUCUCGAGGUUUCUCACCCCUCGUUAAUAAGUGAGAACGGUAUAGCUGCCAACACUCAGCUAGCCCUGGCGGCUUAACACCCGCCGGCGUCCGCCGUCCUGAGCCAUCAGGGGGCGGGAACGGGCGUCAUACACUGCUGGCUGGCUCCGAACCUGGCCUCAGGGGAGGGGCGAGACCAAUGAGGCUGGCCCUGCGGCGAUCCCGCCGAUCGGAGUGCCGCGGGGCGAGAAGCAGUAGAGUAGACCGGCUAUCGACGUAGACGCCUGCGGCUGAGGGUUCCCGGACGUGGGUUCAAUUCCCACCGCCUCCACCA